AAAUUGAAGAGUUUGAUCAUGGCUCAGAUUGAACGCUGGCGGCAGGCCUAACACAUGCAAGUCGAACGGUAACAGGAAACAGCUUGCUGUUUCGCUGACGAGUGGCGGACGGGUGAGUAAUGUCUGGGAAACUGCCCGAUGGAGGGGGAUAACUACUGGAAACGGUAGCUAAUACCGCAUAACGUCGCAAGACCAAAGAGGGGGACCUUCGGGCCUCUUGCCAUCGGAUGUGCCCAGAUGGGAUUAGCU
rnacentral:rRNA from 1 species